UACCCUAAAAGAAUACAUUUUUUUAAAGAAAUGGAAAAAAGUCAAUUCAUAAAAAAUGGUAGAAAAUUGUUCAAAUAAAAUAGAAAUAACAUUAAACUCUAAAAAUAAUUUUUUAUUUUGGAACCUCAACAUUCAGUAUAAAUUUUUCAUUCCUCAAAAUUGAAGCUGAAGAAAAAUGAAUGUUAAAUAUCCAGACAAAUGUAACAAAGAUUCAAAGCUUAGAAGGCCUUUAAGUCUAUUUCAAAUAAUUUUAAAAUUGAUUUGAACAAUAUUUAUAUAGGGUCUACCAAUAAGAAUGAUAUAAGUUUAAAUUGCUAAAAAAUAACGAAUUGGUUAAUUUCUAUGAUUGAUGUUUCAUGUUGUAGUUUAUUAUGUAACAUUAUGUUUUAAACAAAAUAUCAUUAAGAUGUCCACCUCGGCUACGGCGACAGACGUUUAGACGAUGAACCCAAUUUUCAAUCACUUUCUAACAAGUUGGGCUGAAUUUUGCGAAUAACCCUAGUUAUGUUAACUUUCAACUCAUUGAUGGUUUGAGGAUUGUUAGAAUACACCUUCGACUUCACAUAUCCCCAAAGAAAAAAGUCCAGGGGAGUAAGAUCACAGGACCUUGGUGGCCAGUUGAUAUUGCCAUGUCGCGAAAUUAUUCGAUCUUCAAAACGCUCUCUUAAUAAAUUAAUUGUGGCUCGGGCGGUGUGUGAUGUUGCUCCGUCCUGUUGAAACCAACUCUGUUCCAUAGAGAAAUGAAUAUUAAAAGAGUGUUUGAAAGGUAGCCUAAAUUGAUCAUCAAGUUUUAAACCUUAACCUAAGAUAUUUAGUUCGGUUAGACGUCAUCGAGGGCCAACUUCUGUCAUAAUAGUCAUUAUUAUUAUCGAUUUUCUUUCCUUCCUUGCCAUCACCCACCUUCGCAUCAUCGAUCGUCGCCAUUGCUUAUUCCUUUUUAUUUGGGCGUCCAUUGGGUGUGUUCUUUUGUUUUUUUCUCAACAAAAAAUGGUUAAAAAUGUAGCUUAAAGUCAUUAAAGUGUAAUUUCAUCAUAUAGGCAGAAGCUUUUUUGUUGUUUUAUUGUGUGGUUUCAGAUCCCUAGGAUGGGGUCUGACGAAAGGUAUCAUCAGUGCUUUGCUGCUAGGAAGUACCAAAAGCACAAUAAGUGAAACAACUUCCAUUCUACCAGGUCACUACUCAAGGAGGUACCUCACCUCGAUAAGGUGGGAGUAAGAUCCAGGGAUGCUCUUUGAAUAUUUAAGAAAAAGGACUGAUGACAUCUAGAAUUAAGGGUAUACAUCAGUGUCAACUAAUUUUUAAUAUCAUACUCUCCAUAAAGAAUAUUUUAAUUACAGGAUUAGUUUUUAUAUAUUACCACUCCCCUAACAUUUUUGGGUACCCUCUGUACAAAAAAGUAGGUAGUAAAGGUAAAAUUUUUAGGGCAUAUUUUUGAGAAAUAUAGUUCUUAUGUCUGUAAAUAAUUAAUUUAUAAAUUUGAUAAAUUGUAAUUUCUGUAUCAUAUCCUCAAAAUGUAAAAUGUAAAAAGCAAAAUACAUACCAUGGAGUGUUGUGCUAAAGCAGCACAAAAACAAAUUGUAUCAGGAUCCCUUUUAAGACAAUAAAUUAUAAACUUAC
rnacentral:lncRNA from 1 species